AUUGAACGCUGGCGGCAGGCCUAACACAUGCAAGUCGAACGGUAACAGGAAGCAGCUUGCUGCUUUGCUGACGCGUGGCGGACGGGUGAGUGAUGUCUGGGAAACUGCCUGAUGGAGGGGGAUAUCUACUGGAAACGGUAACUAAUACCGCAUAACUUCGCAAGACCAAAGAGGGGGACAUUCUGGCCUCUUGCCAUCGGGUGUGCCCAGAUGGGAUUAGCUAGUAGGUGGGGUAAAGGCUCACCUAGGCGACGAUCCCUAGCUGGUCUGAGAGGAUGAUCAGCCACACUGGAACUGAGACACGGUCCAGACUCCUACGGGAGGCAGCAGUGGGGAAUAUUGGACAAUGGGCGCAAGCCUGAUGCAGCCAUGCCGCGUGGAUGAAGAAGGCCUUCGGGUUGUAAAGUACUUUCAGCGGGGAGGAAGGGAGUAAAGUUAAUACCUUUGCUCAUUGACGUUACCCGCAGAAGAAGCACCGGCUAACUCCGUG
rnacentral:rRNA from 1 species